UAACGCGAAGAACCUUACCAGGUCUUGACAUCCUUUGACCACUCUAGAGAUAGAGCUUUCCCUUCGGGGACAAAGUGACAGGUGGUGCAUGGUUGUCGUCAGCUCGUGUCGUGAGAUGUUGGGUUAAGUCCCGCAACGAGCGCAACCCUUAUUACUAGUUGCCAGCAUUAAGUUGGGCACUCUAGUGAGACUGCCGGUGACAAACCGGAGGAAGGUGGGGACGACGUCAAAUCAUCAUGCCCCUUAUGACCUGGGCUACACACGUGCUACAAUGGAUGGUACAACGAGUUGCGAGACCGCGAGGUUUAGCUAAUCUCUUAAAACCAUUCUCAGUUCGGAUUGUAGGCUGCGACUCGCCUACAUGAAGCCGGAAUCGCUAGUAAUCGCGGAUCAGCAUGCCGCGGUGAAUACGUUCCCGGCCUUGUACACACCG
rnacentral:rRNA from 1 species